UACGUAGGGGGCAAGCGUUGUCCGGAUUUAUUGGGCGUAAAGAGCGUGUAGGCGGCCAUACAGGUCCGUUGUGAAAACUGGAGGCUUAACCUCCAGACGUCGAUGGAAACCGUAUGGCUAGAGUCCGGAAGAGGAGAGUGGAAUUCCUGGUGUAGCGGUGAAAUGCGCAGAUAUCAGGAAGAACACCCGUGGCGAAGGCGGCUCUCUGGGACGGUACUGACGCGAGACGCGAAAGCGUGGGGAGCGAACAGG
rnacentral:rRNA from 1 species